UGCUAGGGCCGCGUCGCGCCCACCUGAGUGGCCGAAGUGAGGUUCGCGAGUCUCUGGGUCGCGACGGGAAAGAGUGAAGCACCUCUCUGCGCCUGCGCGCUCCGUGCCUGCGAAGCAAACCGGGCCUCACCUUUUCCUGCCCGAAGCAGAAGAUUAUCGCAGUCCUGGUUUCUCCGUCCAGAAGACCCCCCCCUCCCCCAAUCCUCUGUAGCUCCUGGUAGUGCCCUGACCCCUGCUGCCACCGUCCUUCAGAGAGCAACGGAAGAGCUUCCCGGAGGGCGAGGAAAAGAGGGAAAGUAGCCAGCAAUGUCGAACGCAAUGUAUAAUAAGAUGUGGCAUCAGACCCAAGAAGCCCUCGGUGCUUUACUCGAUAAAGAGCCUCAGAAGAUGAUUGAACCACAAAGAAAUCAGGUUUUCAUCUUUCAAACAUUAGCCACCUUCUACGUAAAGUAUGUGCAGAUCUUUAGAAACCUAGAGAAUGUCUACGACCAGUUCGUCCACCCCCAGAAACGAAUACUGAUCAGGAAAGUCCUGGACGGGGUGAUGGGCCGCAUCCUGGAGCUGAAGAACGAGAUGGUGGAGCUGGAACUCACGGAGUUCCAUUAUUUCGAUGAUAUCCUGCAGGAUCUCAAGCUGGCCCCCCAACAAUUAGAUAUUCCCAUACCCAAGUAUUUUUUGAAGGAGAAGUUGGAAGUAAUAAAAGGAAGAGAGAAAAUUCUUGCUCAAAUAUUAGCGGACAGCGGAAUAGAUACAUCUGACAUGAAAUACCCUGUAAAGAGUAUCCCUUUCGAUGAGGCUGUUAAAUUAAUCCAGGUUGCUGAGAGGGCACGGCAAGGUCGCCUAAGGGCGUUAUUCAUGAAGCAAAUCUAUCUGCAAGAAUAUAGAGCAAAGCAAUCCAAGAUGCUUGGCAAGAAAGUGACAGAUACCUGGGCUGCUGCACUCCGCAUUCAGAAGGUUUGGCGACGUUUCCAUCAAUGUAAGGAAACUGAAAAACUGAGAGAAGAGGAGAUGAUCUUCCUGGGUAUGAAUCCACCUCCUCUCUUUAAUGAAGUCAGUGCUACAGUAAUCCAGGCUGAAAAGGUGGACCGCCUGCGGAAUGAGGUGCAGAUAAAGCACGAAGAGGACUACAGGGAAGCCCUGGUUACCAUCAAGAAUGACCUAAAGUUGAUAGAAGGCGUGGAUAUCAAGGAGAACCUUCAAGACCAGAUCCGGCAUUGGUUCAUCGAAUGCAGAAAUUUAACUGGGACAUUUCCUGACUACCCUGACGUUGAAGAAGGAGGGUCAGCUAUUAUUUUUUCUGACAAGACCAUACAACAGGUUAUUGAGGAUAUCAUUGCAAACCAAGAGGAAGAAGAAAAAAACAAAAAGAAGAAGAAGAAAAAGGAAAAACAACCCAAGAAAGCCAAAAAACAAAAGAAAGGAACAAAGGAGAAAAAUAAGGAAGAAGAUGAAAAAUGGAAAAUGUCACCAAGUCUUUUUCUUCCUGCAAUGAAGGAAGGAUGUAACGCAUACAAAGAAAUCUGGAUGAAAAAAGAUGAGUCUUGGAAUUUCUCUCAGGACUAUGAUCCAGAACUGAUCAAAGAGGAGAAACGGAAAGAAUUACAGUCAGAGAUCAGGAUACAGGUUGAUGAGUUGAUGAGACAGGAACUUAAAAACUUAAAGCUAGCUGUGGACAGAGAAAGGGAGCGCCCAGUGAAAGCAGGAAAGAAAAAGGACAAGAAGAAAGGAAAGAAAGGCAAAAAGAAAGAGAAAAAGGCAAAGAAGGAUAAAGAUCUGACAGCUGACAGGACCAUUGAGUCUCUGUAUAAGGAACUGGUGGAAGAAGGAUUACUGAUCCAGGCUCUGAAAGUCAACCUCUCUGAUUACAUUGGUGAGUACAGCUACCUGGGGACUACUCUUCGCCAGGUGUCCAUAGAACCCAUGCCCUCCCUCCUGGAUGUCAGACAGCUCAUCACAUUGUACGGAAUCUGGCCAUUAGGUUCUGCAGCAGUGCAUGAGAAAGCUCCUUUGGUGAAAUCGCUACUGUUAGCCGGGCCGUCUGGGGUAGGGAAGAAAAUGCUGGUCCAUGCCAUCUGCACCGAAACGGGAGCCAACCUCUUCAACUUGUCCUCCUCUAACAUUGCUGGGAAAUACCCUGGCAAAAAUGGCCUCCAAAUGAUGCUGCAUGCAGUCUUCAAGGUGGCUCGACAGCUCCAGCCCUCCGUGGUGUGGAUUGAAGACACAGAAAAAACCUUCUACAAAAAAGUUCCCAACGCAGAAAAGAUGAAUGAACCUAAACGCCUGAAAAAACACCUUCCCCAAAUCCUGAAACUCCUGAAACCAGAUGACCGGAUUCUGAUUGUGGGGACCACACGGCGUCCCUUCGAUGCUGAACUCCAAUCUUUCUGCAAAGUUUACCAGAAAAUUAUUUUGGUGCCCAGGCCAGACUAUGCUUCCAGAUACGGCAAGUACCCCCAGCCCCUUCCCAUGCAUGGUAGCUGAGGCUGGGCUGUCCACUGUGUGCUUGCCAGGAGGGCGGGCGGCCCUUGGACCCAGUGGGCGCCAGAUGAGUUGAGGGGAGCUUGCACCCGGUGGGGUGUGCGCACCUGCACCCGACACAGAGCAUGUGCUGCAGAUAUAAACCACUAGGUCACAUUCUGUUCUUAGCAUAUAUCUCUCUACCCAAGACAAAAGGAAACUGCACAAAGAUUAUGAUUUCUGGCCCUGACAGUGACAAAAGCCUUGUGGGUGCUGAUUUUUCUUGGGACGGGUAGAUUAGGAUCACUCACCUUGCACCCAUGGUGAUGAUGUCUUCCUCAUAGAGUGUAGUUUCUUUUCACCGGGUUGGGUUUUUUUUUUCUUCCUGUCUCAAAGUCCACUUGCAGAAUGAUUUACUUAAAAUGAACAUUAAAAUACAACGAGAGCUUACUUUUUCAAUUCCUUCUCCUUAAAUAGAUUCAAAAUCCACUUCUUUUGAAACAUGUUUUUUAAUGGGAAUGACACAAAAAAAGAGCCCCUGGGAGGCGAAGCAGUGGAGCGGGGAGGAGCCUGGGUCAGGGCUCUCAGGACGCCUGGCUCAGAAUCCUGGCUCUGCUCCUGCAUAGCUGGGUGACCCUGACAAGUCGGUCACCUUCUGAGCCUUCAUCUUCUCAUCUGUGAAGUAGGAGAACGGUUCACGCCACAGGGCUGCUGUGACACUCACGAGGUGUUAGCAGAGCACCUGGCCCCAUGUGGCCCCUAGAGAGAAAGGGUGUUGGCGGCAGUGGCAGUGGAGGUAGAGGAAGAGAAGAGGGUGGCGUGGGCUGGGCAGGAGGAGGGAAGGACGGGUGGCGAAUGGCAGGGGAAGCUGGGGAGAGUGCUGGCGGCCGUUCUGCUCUCUAGUGCUGUGUGAAAACCUCCCUGAAGGCUCAAACAGCACGUUAUUCCACCAUGUGCUUCCAAGGGUUCUCUGGGCAGAGCUGGGGCAUUCUCCUUAAUGUACCUCAUGAUGUGAGAGUCACAUGAAAGUUGAGGCUCCUUCGUCUGGAGACUGGACAGUGUGGAUACCCAGGAUCGCUCGCGCAUGUGACUGGAGUUGCUGCUGGCCGUCGUGGGCACUGAGCGGGGCCUAUGUCGACCGGACAGGCUGCACCUGGCCUCAGUGCAGCUUCUCAGACCUGGCAGCUGGGUGCCACGACGGGUUAUCUCAUGAGCACAUGUUUCAAGAAGUUGGAGCAGUAGCUGAAAGGAUUCUUGUGACCCAGCCUCACAAGCCACACAGAGGGACCAUCACCACCCUCUGUGGUCAAGAGGAAGGCACAGGGCCAGCCCAGAUUCGAGGGCGGCCGAGGACACAGGGUGUGAAUGCACAGGGGUGGCUCGUGGCGGGGCCACCGUAACACUGCACUGGCGGGGAGCGGUGAGGACUUGGAGGGCCUCAAAACGUCCCCCAUGAACCCUUUGCACCCGGCCAGCAUCCAAAGAAGCGAGGGAAGACAGGAUGGAGGAGUCACAGAAGAUCUUAAGGACUAGACCCAGAAGAGGCCAACAUUUCCUCCAGCCAGAUCAUGUUGGCCAGAAUGAGAAACAUGGAUGAAGGGGGCAGCGCUGUCCAGCCGAGAAAGGAGACAGCGCGAGAUGGGCGGGCACCACAGUCUCGCCGCAGCCCACACAGCCAAUGCCAGGGGUUCCAUGCCCCUGGCCUUAGCAGGACUACCCCUCUCUCCUCUCAUGCGUUCUUCUUUUCUUCCUUUUUUGUAUGGUAUCUAUAUUUUAAGCUGUGUUAAUGGAAUAAGGUAGGGUAUUAUUAAUUCAAAGGGGCUGGAGCAUUAUUCUGGACUCUGGGCAGAAUGGUUUCUAUUGUUUGACAAAACUAUAGGCCCUUUAAAAAUGAAGCUAUUGAUGGAUGGUCAGCAAUUUUGUUCUUUUGAUAAAACACCACACAUCGCUUAGGAUUCAGAUCACGCUGCAGAUUCCUACCUGAAUCUCCUCACAGCAUCGUGAUGGGAGAGGAAGGAGAGAAAGCGUCCCUCCACCUGUGGGCAAAUGAUAAAGCUGCACCAGACACUUCUCUGGGGCCCUGGGUUCUGUCCGCUGAAGCACAGCUCCUCAAUAUUUCUGUCUUGGGGAGUGAUGUGUUCAGGCCGCCAUUCUGGCCAACGUCAUCGCCCCUCAUCCAGCAUUUCCUCCAGUGACCUUGAAGUUUUCAUAGCCACAGUGGCUGGGACAUCUGUCUUACAGAAAGACUGUUCUUAUCUUUGCAGCGAUCAAAAGUAGUCUCUUCCAGUCCAUAAAGCAAGGGCUGCCAAUCCGUAACAUAGACGGUGGCUUAGUCGUCUCUCCACCCGCAAUGAAGCUCAAAGGUGUGCAGCAGUCCCCGCGGCCCCACUCCUCAAAUUCCUCCGGGCCACAUGGGGACAGACAGUGCUGAAAAGUGAAGGGUGGAUUUGUAGAGGAAACACAGCCCUCAGGUUCACCAAACAUCAUUCAAUCUCUCCUUCUUUCCCCCAAACCAAGCUGUCUCUGCAAAGAAAAUCCACCCCACAGGCUGAUGGAUGCCCUGUCUGGUCCCCAGAAAUCCCUUCGGGCUUCCUUUUCUCCACAUUCCAAGUGCCCUCCUCCUCUUGCCUCUCUCCUUGGGGUCCAUUUCACUAAUAACCCAAUUCAUCACAGGCCCACCCAGACCCAGUGUCUGGUCGGAUGGGUCCAGGGUCUGUCUUCAGACUUUUCUGCAAUUCCAGGCUUCAGAGGGUCAGAAGCUCACCCACAUCACAUUAUUCACCUCUCAGGCUUUUGGAAAACUCCAAAUAAAAAUGAAUGUUCAGAGACUGCAUCAUCUCAAGUGCCAGCCAAGACAGAAUCCGCUGGGAAUGUCGACAGCAGAUGAAGGGGAGCCAAAGGCCAAAUUCUCUUUCAUCCAAAGAAGGGAAAGAGAAUGUAGAUUGGUCUGAAGAUGUGAGGAGCCUUUUGCCUCCAAAAGAGGAAAGUAAAAUUCAGCACUUGGCCUGGAGAGCCCCUCUGCUGCCCUCAACACUCUGGGGCCCCUAACCUUGGUCUUCACCAACACAGCCAUUGCCACACCCCAAGACUGCAAUGCAUCUGUGCUCCCCACUGCACUUCUGGGCCAGAGACCCCACAGCCUCUGGGGCUCCCAUGCUCACUGCCGGCUCCAGUCUCCACCCAGCCCACCACGCUGUGCCUCCCUCCACACCUGACACCACCGUGGGCCCCAGAGCAGCUAUUUAAGGGCCAAGAAACCAUGAGUGGGUGGUUGUGUAAAAGCAAUAGAAGCGAUUCUUUGAAAGACCAACAGCUCGAGUUCAUCAGCUGCAGGAAGGAAGCCAAGCCUGGUUUUGCAUCCCCUUCUCUGGAUCUUCAGAUGAGCGGGCAGGUGGGCAGGUCCCACCACAGCUGGGACUGUCUCACAGAGCUCUCUUGCUGCAACUCCAGUAAAAAUGGUGAUCUAUGGAGAGUAACCAAUGAGUCAUGUAUUCAGGAAUCUUGACCGAAACUCUCCGUGAAUACCAAGUAUCCUACACUUUAAAUGGGCAGCAGCAGGUUUACAUGUCCGUCUGGCCCUUGUUGGUCUCACUGCAGGUCUCCAAAGCCUUGAUGCCUAAUUGUCCACAGCUCGGAGAAACUGGCAGGCCCCACGGUACAGUUCACCCUUUCCCAGUACAGUAACUGUACACCGUUACUAAUGAAUCUCUACUCAUCGAGUGAUUACUCCUGCAAGAAGGUUGGAUGAUUUGGGCAGAAAACUUCCAAGAUUAUUACUGUUGUGGCUUCACAGAGAAGCCAGGGAGAGAGUUAGUUAUUGGUUGCCAGUGAGCACGUGGCCCUCACCCCUUCCCAGUGAUGGUUCCCUUUUGCACCACAGCAGGAAUUUUGCUCAUGCGUGCCCAGAACCAAGUCCGCAAGCAUGAAACCCAGCCUGGGAUGUCAACUUCAGCUUUUGGGGCCUUACCUGUGACUCUCCCAUAAAUCAUGUUCCCUUCUCAGCUUCCAGAGUCGCCACUCAGACCCGGUGGUACUUUGUUUAGAUGUUAUAAAUUUGGACGGAAGACACAUUGGAUCUCAAGUGAAGAUGUGGGCUAGUUGUUGUUGUUGUGAUGAUCAUUUUUACCAUGGGUUAUGUUUUCUGAUCUCUAACUCUGCAACAGUUAUAUUUAGACAAGGAUAAUCUUCACCGGCUGCCAUCAAUUGCUACACAAACAGGCUUUGAAACACUCUGUAGCCUAUUUUGUGUUGUCUUUUGUAAUUGAUGUUUUAAUGAGGGUUAGGAAACUUCAGUGCAAUAUGGAAUGAAGAACAAUCAUUGUUAUUGUAAUAACAACAGUAACAUAGCCACAGAAAGUCAAGUCCCCACCAAGUGCUGGGCUGCUGCACUUCCAAGCGCUUUACAAACAUUUUUGGGCUUGUUUUUCACAGCAGCACUGAGAAGUCAAUCCUUCUAUGCCUGUUUUACAGAUAAGACUAGUUUGGGGCUCAAGCUCAAAGAAACCCACCAAGGAAGGAGCAGAGUAGAUCAGGGAUUUCAUGAUCCUUUAGGCCAGUUUGGGGUCCCUGUGGCCCUCCUUGGUUUCACUGCAGAUCUCCAAACCCUGGAUGCCUAUGCAUCCACAGCUCAGAGAAAUUGGCAGGCCCCAAGGUACAGUUCACCCUUUCCCAGCAGCUCAGCUCACCCACAGGGCCAAGGACCCCCCAAAAGAGGACAGUGGGAGUGAACUGCUGCAAUAGCUCGUGGCCCAAAAGCCAGAUUCUCCAGCUUGCUUCAUAGUUACAUUAUAGGCCAUUUUAUUCCUUUAUAGUAAGUAGAUCUUUUCAUUUUAUCAGCCAUUUUUGGAUCAGCAUACUUGUAUGAUGUAGUCAUUUAAAGUCAAAAUGGUUUAGAAAUAUUUGACCAGAUUAUCCCAGUGCUGAGACUGACAGAUGCUCUUGUAAACACCCUUCACCCUUCUCCACCGUCUCGAUAUAAUUAAAUAAGUUACAGCAAGUUUCCUUUACUUCCCUUGUGCUCCCUUUACAGAAUAGAGGUAAUUCUCCAAAUACAGAAUGAUUUUAAGGAUUGUACAGGAGUUCAUUCCAUCUCUAAAGUUAAGCAUCCAGAAUUAUUUCAUAGUUCAUUUUCACAGCAUCCCUGUGUUCAGAUUGAAAUAUCUCAUUCACUCCAGGUCCCACGAACCAGAGAACACCCAGGACUCAUCUGAAGGACUCUAGUCAACCAGUGCAUGUUUACAGUUGCUGAGGGGGAAAGAAUAAGGGUCAAAUUGCUCUAUUUAAUAAAAUGUGUAAUACAGUGUCUUCCACUGAAAGGGAACUGACCCUGGCAGUAGCUGAUGAAAACUGGAAUCUGCAUUCUGAUUCCAGAUGUAAAAAUAAUGUGAGAAAUUAACUUUAUAUCUAAAAAAAAAAGUUAAACUACUUAUCCAAAUUACUUGGGAAAUACAAUAUUCUGAUGAGAAGAGAUGCCAUUAUACACCUUCUGAAAAUUUCCAGUGUUGAAAGAUUGUCAACAUCUUUACAGGUACCACAUUAAAACUAUACUGACGGUGGUUUUGUGUUUCUCCUUGUUAAUUUGCAGGGCACUUGUGGAUCUAUAGACCUCAGGGUCAUUGAUAUGUAUGGCUUAUGGUUGAAAAUUCUCUAGAGGAAAGCAUUUAGUUACUUGGCUUCGGUUCAUUUGAGUUACAAAUAAGCUAGAGUAGACUUCUGUGUAUUCCUUUCUUGAUGAGAUGCAACUUUCAACCGAGAGGGAAACUGGCACUGAUUUCUCUGUGGUAACCCUUGUUCUCUGUGUCUUUUCUGGAUACAACAGUUCUGUGGAAGCAAAUCAUUGAACGCAAUGGAGGAGUCCUCACCAGUGCCUUGAAUGUCAGCUGCCUGGCGAAGGUCACUGACGGCUUCACCCAAGGACAUAUAAUCAAAGUGGUUAAAGACGUGCUCACAGAUCAGAGA